GACGAACGCUGGCGGCGUGCCUAAUACAUGCAAGUAGGACGCAGUUGCGAACGGGUGAGUAACGCGUAGGUAACUACCUAUUAGAGGGGGAUAACUAUUGGAAACGAUAGCUAAUACCGCAUACUAGUAGAUGGACCUGCGUUGUAUUAGCUAGUAGGUCGGGUAAUGGCCUACCUAGGCAACGAUACAUAGCCGACCUGGUAGGGGUAUCGGGCAAACUGUGACGUAGACACGGCCCAGACUCCCACGGGAGGCAGCAGUAGGGAAACUUCGGCAAUGGGGGGAACGCUGACCGAGCAACGCCGCGUGAGUGAAGAAGGUUUUCGGAUCGUAGAGCUCUGUUGUUAAGGAGGCGGUACUUAACCAGAAAGGGACGGCUAACUACGUGCCAGCCGCCGCGGUAAUUC
rnacentral:rRNA from 1 species